GAUUGGAAGGGGUGUAUUUAUUAGAUUAAAAGCCAACGCCCUUCGGGGCUCUUUGGUGAUUCAUAAUAACUGGUCGAAUCGCAUGGCCUUGCGCCGGCGAUGGUUCAUUCAAAUUUCUUCCCUAUCAACUUUCGAUGCGAGGGUCUUGUCCUCGCAUGGUUGCAACGGGUAACGGAGGGUUAGGGCUCGACCCCGGAGAAGGAGCCUGAGAAACGGCUACUACAUCCAAGGAAGGCAGCAGGCGCGCAAAUUACCCAAUCCCGACACGGGGAGGUAGUGACAAUAAAUACUGAUACAGGGCUCUUUUGGGUCUUGUAAUCGGAAUGAGUACAAUUUAAAUCCCUUAACGAGGAACAAUUGGAGGGCAAGUCUGGUGCCAGCAAAUCGUCGA
rnacentral:rRNA from 1 species